GAGGAUCCAAGCGUUAUCCGGAUUUAUUGGGUUUAAAGGGUGCGUAGGCGGCCUGUUAAGUCAGGGGUGAAAUUUUUCGGCUCAACCGGAAGCUUGCCUUUGAUACUGAUGGGCUUGAUUACACUUGAGGUAGGCGGAAUAUGUCAUGUAGCGGUGAAAUGCUUAGAUAUGACAUAGAACACCGAUUGCGAAGGCAGCUUACUAAGCAAAUAUUGACGCUGAGGCACGAAAGCGUGGGGAUCAAACAGG
rnacentral:rRNA from 1 species